UCCUUUGCACGUCACUGACAGAAUAGAACACCAAUUUUUGGUAUAUUUAAUGAGAAAAAUAUUAGAGACUUGUGCCCAGAACAAGUUGAUCUAUGGACUUGUGGUAGGUAAACUUUUGUAGAACUGGAUAUGCUGCGAUCAACGAUGCCAAAGGUUUUUGUUUAAUAUUUGACAUUGACGUUCGAAUUUUUUGUUGGCAGUUCUCACCUUUCGUUAUUCAUUAUCGGUAGUCGCUUUCAACAGAAUUGUGGUGUGUCUGAAGUGCUUUUAGUCGAAAUGCAUAACCAUUUACAUAGUAAAGCUAAGGAAUGGGAGGCUAGUUUCAUCCAUUAUUUUGAAAUGGACUAUGAAGAUUGUGAUCCUUUAUUUCCAUUGGGAAGAUAGAGGAGUGUAUCCUUAUAUAAAAGCAACUUUGUUCAUAUUUUUAUUUUAGCGUUCGUAGACGUUACCAUAGUAUAAUCCUUCAUCACUAGAUACUCAACUCCUUUUGGAAAUACAUACCGAUUUUUUCAGCGUAGCAUUUACGUAUAUGCGUUGUGGGUUCCCUCCUACUGCAUAAAUUUGUUGUUACUAUUUGCCUUAUAACGUGAACUGUUGUUUGGAGAAAACAAAAUGAAACGUGGGUAGAUUUGUUCGUCGUUGGACUCCUUAUCUGUCGCAUUCCUCCAAAUCCCACCCAGAUUUACGCAGGCUCACCAAUAAAGCUCUAACGAGCCUCCGUACGUACAGAGAAUUUUAUAGGGUAGAAAAAAUGCACAAUCUAAAUUAUAUAGAUACGGAAUUAUAAUCUUGUGUGUGUGAAUUUUUGUUUAUGCAUUGUAAGGAAAUCAAUUAUUUCAUUUAUGUAUAACCCGGUUUUUUAUUUAACCGUAAGACACGUUGAUACAGUCACCCGCAGACUGGUAUCUCGGAUACAUCUGUAACAUUGCGUCUUAUGGAGCCGUUCACACACGCAUACUUCUCGCAUACAGUACCGGCGACUAAAUUUCGGUUUCCCGCUAGGUCCAGUCGCCCGGAGAUUUUACGACUUUAGGGAACUGAUGGGCUAUUGGUUCAUAUGGAACUCUUUACAGGAGGGUACCUUUUCAUUAGCAACCGGUCAGUGCUGUUCGUCACCUCCGCCCGAAGAAACAAAAUAGUCAUAAAAUGGAGCGCACCUUUGAUGUAUUGUAUAGUAAAAUGGCUUCUGCAACGUCAAUUUUAUCAGGUGUGGUGUGACUUUACAGAAACCCGCCCGCCACUGCACUGAAAAUCGAAGUACCUCACUGCGUAAGGCUGGAAUUCUGAUGACAAAGAUACAGUAUUUCGCAUACAGUACCACCGUGUAAAAGAGCUCUAAGGAAGCUAAAAGAUGCAAAUAGAGUAAAUAAAUAAAUACUGCACUAUGUGUGCAUAUUUAGGGUGAGAUAAAUGAAUCAGAUCAUUGUAAUAAGGUAAGAACAAAGAGAUCCGAGUUAAAUACGUCUAUCGCAACCCAAAGUUAAAUGACAAAUAAUGAGACAGGAGGCUUUAAGCGGCGUUACAUGGGGCGAACCUGCGCCGCGUUGUCGCAAAGCGCGAGGUGCAAUUUUAAGUCAAUCAGUCCUCUGAAUGGAUCCCGAAGACUGAAAUUAAUCCAAUAGCGAAAAUCAUAUCGAUCGAGCCACCGUCAUGCUGCGGACGAAGGUUUUCGCAGCAUUUCGAAGAAAGAAAACAAGAAGCUUGAACAUAUCCACGGCGUACCAGGAUGCCAGAAGCGGCGUAGGUAGGUGCGGAUAGCGCCGAUCCUGACGAACGGAGUUAGGUCAGAGCCGGGACGUGAUGACAUGCGGUGGCGACGUCUUGAGCCAAAGCGACCAGCCUCAGUUGCUUAUGUAGGGAAGGUAGGCUUGCCCAGGCACAAGUGGUUUUUGCUGGCCCUUGGUGGUGCUUAUUAACAAUUCGUCGAGGCGUCCGGCGUUGCGGCGAAUGGGGCGUUUGCUGGUAGUGGGGUCCUUCCCUGGCGUUCCUAACAACGGCGGGAAGUCUAUAGUCGGUCCGUGCAUAGUACAGCUGGAUGCAAGAUAACUCUCCUUGUGAGUGAAAGCCGUGACCCGAACUCGUCUAGAACUGGUGGUGCACAAACGAUAAAGGUAUUUAGGAACAAUCGAUGCGAAGUAUGUUUUGCGAAUCAAUGUUUCUUAACUAUUUGCUGUACAGGAUUGUUACGCUUCAAACCCCAUUUACUAAUUAUGUUAUUCUAUUGCAGCAAGAACAUACCUUAAAGAAAAUAAGAACCGUUUCAUAAUUUAAUAAAGAUUAUUGACUUAUUAUUUAUCCCUUUACCUUUUUCCUUAAGAGGCCAGGAGAGAAUUACUAACUGAUAGCUAUCGGGCGCACAUUAUACAUAAUUCCAUAACAAGAACCACCCGUAAUUUAAUUAAGGUAUGCGAAGAUUAGCCAGAGGUAGGAUGGAGUAGAAGAGGUAUUUGUAACAUCCGUUACAAAAUGACACCCAAAAACGGGGCUUACGUAUUAGAGUGUUCUGGAGAAGCGAUGAAAAUAACGGGAAGGACACACAAACAGGAAUUGAUGCUUCACUUGACCUUCACUGUGGAAUACUGUUUGUUGAAAUCUAAGAACCUCGUGCGUUGCCGGAUGUUUCUACUAUCGUUCUGUAUUUUAGUUCAAAAAGGUAUUUGGGCAUUUGCUUUUAUGCUUUCAGAGAAAUGUAUGUAUCUGUGCCACUAAAUUACAUUCCCAACAGUUUCUUUUUGAAUCAAACAGCAUAGAUAAAAAAGGUUUUGUAUAAUAUAAAAAAUCUAUAAAAGUAUAAUCAGCAUUGUUACAGACUCGCUUCAGAAGCUUCUUGCGAUACGACCGAUGUCUGAGACUGAUUAGGGCAACUGCUUUUCCUUCUGCACACCCGCUUCCUCUUCCUUGAACAACUUCGUCUGCGCAUCCUUCUUUUUCUUCGUUUGCAAGUACGCCUCUUUAUUUUCCGUUUGCAUUUGCGUCGUCUCUUCUGUAACUUACAUCUGAGCUUCCUUCGCCCAGGUUUACACUUAGUUCGAAAGGGCUUAGCAGCCCUUCCGGCCUGUGCUGCUCUGCACUGGUACUUUCUUCUGCGAAAUUCACUCAUGUUGCACCACCGGCGAGCUCCUUCGAGCGUCAGCUUGCAUGAAAGCCACGUGGGGUAUUUCUUACGCAGCUCUUGUAAGAAAUUUAAAAAGGGAUUUUUCGAAAAGCGGGAGUUUUUUCGUCUUUUGCAGAUUACGUUUGUGCCCUUCUCUCUACGUCUACGUCUUCUACAUGCCAUAAUUUCGGAAUAAAAUUCUCUGAAAGGUCAAACUAAAAUUUUGAAGUUAACAAAACAAUCUUGUUUGAUACGUUAGUAACGCCCAGACGACUACGUAGUUUCACAAAUUUCCUAUGCAACUAACAAAGUUUGUCUAUGGUUACCACUUUAUUUUCCAAGGAGACGUAAAAACAAUUUUGUUUCAUAAGUUAGUAACGCCCAGACGAUUACGUAGUUUCACAAAUUUCCCAUGCAAGUUACAAAGUCUGUCCAUGGUUACCACUUUAUUUACCAAGGAUACGUAGCAUGUCCGGAGAAAUACAGACAUUUACACGUCGAUAUUUCAGAAAGAAGAGAAAUGUGCAAGAAUUCGAAAUCUGAAAUAAAAUGGACAACUUGGGGUUCACGAUUUCCAAGCAAGGUAUAGGCAUUUUCGGGUUUCAAAACACCCAUUUUUUUAAUACUAGUGCUUUUGAUUACUUAAAAGGAGCGCAGUUCUAGGGUGUACUCAAGCAAUAAAUGGCUUGAGUAAUAAACUAAUAAUUACAUAUUACAAGAGAGAAAAUUUUGAAGACAAAAAUGACAUGAAAGCCUGUUGCUUGGCAAAUUCGCAAAUGACAUUUGUAAAAUGAAUGCCAUGAG